CGGAAGCGGCGGACGGGUGAGUAACCGCGGUAGGCAACCUGCCCUUUGCAGAGGGAUAGCAACGGGAAACUGUUAUUAAAACCUCAUAAUACCGUAAUGUCAAAUGAUGAAACGGUCAAAGAUUUAUCGGCAAAGGAUGGGCCUGCGUCUGAUUAGUUAGUUGGUAGGGUAACGGCCUACCAAGGCAGCGAUCAGUAGCCGACCUGAGAGGGUGAUCGGCCACAUUGGAACUGAGACACGGUCCAAACUCCUACGGGAGGCAGCAGUGGGGAAUAUUGCACAAUGGGCCGAAAGCCUGAUGCAGCAACGCCGCGUGAAGGAUGAAGGCCUUUGGGUCGUAAACUUCUGUCCUUGGGGAAGAAAAAAUGACGGUACCCCUGGAGGAAGUCCCGGCUAACUACGUG
rnacentral:rRNA from 1 species